AUUGAACGCUGGCGGCAUGCCUAACACAUGCAAGUCGAGCGGAUGAAGGGAGCUUUCUCCUGGAUUCAGCGGCGGACGGGUGAGUAAUGCCUAGGAAUCUGCCUGGUAGUGGGGGAUAACGUCCGGACACGGGCGCUAAUACCGCAUACGUCCUGAUGGAGAAAGUGGGGGAUCUUCGGACCUCACGCUAUCAGAUGAGCCUAGGUCGGAUUAGCUAGUUGGUGGGGUAAAGGCCUACCAAGGCGACGAUCCGUAACUGGUCUGAGAGGAUGAUCAGUCACACUGGAACUGAGACACGGUCCAGACUCCUACGGGAGGCAGCAGUGGGGAAUAUUGGACAAUGGGCGAAAGCCUGAUCCAGCCAUGCCGCGUGUGUGAAGAAGGUCUUCGGAUUGUAAAGCACUUUAAGUUGGGAGGAAGGGCAGUAAGUUAAUACCUUGCUGUCUUGACGUUACCAACAGAAUAAGCACCGGCUAACUUCGUG
rnacentral:rRNA from 1 species